rnacentral:rRNA from 1 species
GACAGAGGGUGCAAACGUUGUUCGGAAUUACUGGGCGUAAAGCGCGUGUAGGCGGCUGCGCAAGUCGGAUGUGAAAUCCCAUGGCUCAACCAUGGAAGUGCACCCGAAACUGCGUAGCUAGAGUCUCGGAGAGGAAGGCGGAAUGCUUGGUGUAGAGGUGAAAUGCGCAGAUAUCAGGAGGAACACCAGCGGCGAAGGCGGCGCUCUGGGCCGGAACUGACGCUGAGGAGCGAAAGCGUGGGUAGCAAACAGG